rnacentral:rRNA from 1 species
UACGUAGGGUGCGAGCGUUAAUCGGAAUUACUGGGCGUAAAGCGUGCGCAGGCGGUUUUGUAAGCCAGAUGUGAAAGCCCCGGGCUCAACCUGGGAAUGGCAUUUGGGACUGCAAGGCUUGAGUGCGGCAGAGGAGACUGGAAUUCCUGGUGUAGCAGUGAAAUGCGCAGAUAUCAGGAGGAAUACCGAUGGCGAAGGCAGGUCUCUGGGCUGACACUGACGCUCAUGCACGAAAGCGUGGGGAGCAAACAGG